UAUAGAACCAGUUAGUGAAGUGCUUUUAAAAUGGCAAGAAAGUUUUAAAGAAAGAUUGGCUUAUCAUACAGAACGAAUUGAUAUGUAUUUUAAUACAUUCAAUGUAUUGAAGACACCAUCUGCUUAUUUAUUGUUUGAAUCAGAUUUUAAACAAAUUCAUAAAGAGGCAGUUGAUAAAUUAAUUCUAAAAUGGCCAUCGGUUGCAAAAAAAUUAUUAAUAUUAGUAAGAAACGAAAAGAUUAUCAAGUAUCGCAAUACCUCAAGACUAAUAAUAUAUUAUUGGCGAACGAUUCAGAUCUUGGUAAUAUUGAGAUUAUUGCCCUUGAAUUACUUCCAUUACUAUUGGGUACAAUAAAC